ACACACACACACACACACAAAGAGAGAGAGACUAACAAAGGUACUUAGUCACUGUUACAUACACACUGAUCAUGUCACAGUGAGUCAGACUGACCCUCGACUGAAGUGUUGCACCAGCUGCAGUUCCACUCAACGCCCCCAGGGGGAAACAGCAGCUCACAGCUUCACCACUGUAACGUGAGGCUAACGUCCGUCCCCCUGUCUGUGGACCACUCGACCUCCGGAGGUCUCCUGCAGCACAGACUCAUGAUGGAAACUUCGUCUUCUGUCUGUUCAGCCACUUUUCAUCUGUCAACACAGCAGAGAGAGGAAACUGGUGAAGACACAACAACGACUCGUUGUUCGAUUCCUCCAGAGACGUGAUCUCAGGAAAACCACUGAGAAACGUCACUUCUCUUCCUGCUGCUGCGACAAAACUUCACAACAAGUCAAAUGUUUCAAAAAGACGACACAGCGAACAAAUGUCCCGAACGUUUGGUCCCGUCCAGCUGCUGGUUUGACUUGGAACCAGAACAAACUCGAUGAGCGUCUGCCAUCGGGUUUGAUACAACAACAUCUCAUGAGAUAAAAACAACAGAAAUCAAUCAAUUAGGCCUCAAAUCAAAAUCUCCACGACUGCUCAACCAAUCGGAGAAAACUCCAUAAUAUGAAUUAGAUUGUGUGAUGCAUCCAAUGUGUGAUAUCCAGAUGUUAUAGAUCUGAACCAUAGAGCUUCACUGUUCAUUCAUUAGAACAAAGUGUAGUUUUAUUUAACUCCAAACAACUUACACUACCCCCUUCUGUAAAUACUCAUUAAAAACACCAAAAGUAUGUUUUUCGUUCAGAAAGUCCGAGGAGACAGAAUAUCACUUUGAUAUUUCAGCAUUUUGUUUUCAUUUCACAACAAUCAAUAAAAUAAAACACCGACCUGUUUAAUUUUCAUCUUGUAUUUAAAUGUAUCAUCAAAAUGAAAAAGAGAAGAUCAGAUGGAAGGAAGA